AUUGAACGCUGGCGGCAUGCCUUACACAUGCAAGUCGAACGGCAGCACGGGGCAACCUGGUGGCGAGUGGCGAACGGGUGAGUAAUGCAUCGGAACGUACCUUUCAGUGGGGGAUAACGUAGCGAAAGUUACGCUAAUACCGCAUAUUCUGUGAGCAGGAAAGCAGGGGAUCGCAAGACCUUGCGCUGAUUGAGCGGCCGAUGUCAGAUUAGCUAGUUGGUGAGGUAAAGGCUCACCAAGGCGACGAUCUGUAGCGGGCCUGAGAGGAUGAUCCGCCACACUGGAACUGAGACACGGUCCAGACUCCUACGGGAGGCAGCAGUGGGGAAUUUUGGACAAUGGGGGCAACCCUGAUCCAGCCAUGCCGCGUGGGAGAGGAAGGCCGUCGGGUGGGAAAGCUCUUUCGGCCGGGAAGAAAUCGCACGGGCUAAUACCCGGGGUGGAUGACGGUACCGGAAUAGGAAGGACCGGCUAACUACGUGCCAGCCGCCGCUGUAACAC
rnacentral:rRNA from 1 species